GAAGCAGAGUGAAACCAGCUGUUAUCAAGCCGGGUUGUGCUCAUUAGGGAGAAAACAUUUAGAAGUAGAGUGAAACCAGCUAUUAUCAAUCCGGGUUGUGUUCAUUUAAGGAGAAAAUGUUUAGAAGCAGAGUGAAACCAACUGUUAAAAAAAACAAUUGAAACAGGGAGGUACAGCCUGAAUGUGUACUAAGAUACUACCUAAGAAUUUGAGCACAGAUUGUAGUUUUCCGUUGCAAAAUGUUUUGCUACGGUGUGACCUAUUGAACACUACCCAGGUGUGCCGCCAAGCCAUUAUAUAUAUGGAUUUCUGUUGACCGUUGUUCAGAAAUGGAUCAAUGGGAAAUGUAGGGUUAAUUAUUAUUGUACAUUCCUCUAAUCAUCUUCUUCGAUAAGCACUCUGAUCAAUCAAUGGCACUAAUAAUAUAUUUAUUUAUGUGAAUUGUCAAGUUUGACUUUUUAUUUUAAUGGUUGAGAUAAUUGUAUGACAGUUGAGUGGAUUAUGUAGUCUAUAAUACUGUAGUGUACAAAAUGAAAGUUGUUUUUUUGUUGUUGCAAUAGAAGACUUGAACCACAGUGUGGCACUGUUGGCCACCAGAGGAGUACCUGACGGUAUCUGUGUGUCUCCUGCCCCUCCCAGAAGACAGUGAUGACACACACAGAGCACACUGUGGCUCUUUCUAAAAAAUCCAUCCUCUCCUUCAUUGCACUGAUCUGAAAGAACUGAUCAGGUUAAAUAUUUUCCAAACAGUGCAGAUGAAGGGGGGAAAAUGAUGCGAUUGAGAAUGAGAUACAUCCGAGCUGUUGCUAGCAGCCAGACCAGAGAUGGUUGGUUUAUAAUGUUGAAACAGGAUUUGGCCAACCUAUUGAUGGUGUAUAAUGUUGAUACAGGCUAUGGUCAACCUGUUGAUGGUUCAGAAUGUUGCUACAGGCUAUGGUCAACCUGUUGAUGGUUCAGAAUGUUGAUACAGGCUAUGGUCAACCUGUUGCAUCACAGCCAGAGGUUGCUAGGGACUGCUUGUUGGAUCACAGCCCCAGGUUGCUAGGGACUGCUUGUUGGAUCACAGCCACAUGUUGCUAGGGACUGCUUGUUGGAUCACAGCCACAGGUUGCUAGGUACUGCUUUUUGGAUUACAGCCACAGGUUGCUAGGGACUGUUUGUGGAUCACAGCCACAGGUUGCUAGGGUCUACUUGUUGGAUCACAGCCACAGGUAAAUUAUGGAUGACCAAUUAGAGAGCUAGAAUCACUUGAACUAUUAUUGAUUUAUUGAUGGAGGGAGGGAGAGAGAGAGAGAGAGAGAGAGAGAGAGAGAGAGAGAGAGAGAGAGAGAGAGAGAGAGAGAGAGAGAGAGAGAGAGAGAGAGAGAGACAGAGAGAGUGUGUGAGAGAGAGAGAGAGAGAUCAGUCAGUGUGAUACCAUCAUACAGUACUCCGACUUUAAUGUCAUGCAGGCAGCUUCUGCCAAAGUGUGGUCUCUGUCUGGUCUGACACUCCCCAGGAGGAUCUGUCUGGUCUGACACUACCCAGGAGGAGCUGUCUGGUCUGACACUACCCAGGAGGAGAGAGACUUGAAGGUGUUUGUGCACAUGGGCCCGAUUCAGACAUUGGAAAUUACACCUUUCCUACGCACACCUUUCCUACGCACUUCUCAGUAGUUGGUAUUCAAACUUACCUUAUGAAGUUGCAUAACGGGCUUUGCAGGCGUGGUUCCCUUGUGGGCGGUGACUACAUGUAAUUCAACCACUGAAAACCCUCUCACUUGCUGGCCAACAGAUUUUCUUGUGGAGUUUUCAAUCAAUAGAGUUUUCAGUACAUUUAUCUUAAGCCAUCCCUUUAAAUACGGUGCACCUUUAAUUGGAAUUUUGUCGACAGACUAGAAUACAUCGAGAGAACAGGUUCAUAAAAUAGGGAUCAAUUAAAGAAAGCCAUCUAAAUAUAUGCAUAUUUGUCUUCAUUUCAUCACCAACUGGUAGUUUUAAAAAUACUCUGAUUAUUUAGCCACAUUUUAGGGUUAGGGAGAAUGAAUCAUUAAAAAAAAAACAGGUUUGGAGAUCCUUUAGGCACUAAAUAUAUCGAUGAAUCAAAAAUUAUUCAUUCUGAAAAUUGCCACGUUCAGUUCUUCAACCCCAUGGUAAUGUUGGAAGAUUAGUGUACAUAGAAUUGUAACAGGGGAGAAUAGUGUACAGUAGUAGGAUAUACCCUACAUGUCUUUUUUUUAAAUAUAUUAUCAACCGUUACUAAUGAUCCUCAGCAACAACCACGCGGCCGUGAUGACGUUUACAGAGGAAGGAAAUGGAGGUAAAUGAAACAAUGUAAUUAAAUGGAAUGAUAAUGUUGGCUAUACCAACUGAAGGGAACUAACAGUAAAUUGGCAGUUGAAUAUGUGUUGUUAUUAGACCUACUGACGGUCCAGGCUGCUAGUGGUAUUUAAACAUGAUAGAAAUAGGAAACAGAGAAAGUCGGAGCAGCCUAUAAUUAGGACAUUCGAGAGUGCCCAUCCCUGCAAGUUCAAAGGCUGUACAAUUUAAAUUCUGCAUAAUGACACAGCAUUUCAUGAACUUCACUGUGGGAAAGUUUAUAUGUGCUUCAGUUUGCUGCCAUGUGACUGGUUUCACAUCUGUCUCCAGUGGUGUUAUGGUUAAAUAGAUCUAAAACAAGCGUCAUUUAUAUUUACAAUUCCCUUAUCCAAACGGAUUACUCAAAUACCUCGCUCUUAUCAAUAACUCUUAUCAAGUUGUAAAUUACAGUUCUUGGAGAAUGGUGUUAGUAGAUGCUUUUUCCACUUGGAACCGGUAGGUUCGCUAGUCGUUAUUCAUGAUUUCCUCGCACGUAAAGGUGGUGGAAUUAUGAGGGAAUUAAGUCAAGGUCAGAAUACCGCGUAUCUGUAGACACACCUCUGCCACACGUUCAUUUAUUCGAUCUCCACCCAAAACGAGUAGCGUGUGAACAGCACGGGUGUGAAUUGAAAUCGGUACCAUGGCCUUUACUAGACAAUUUUCCUAAAAGGAUGUUAAAUUCCCCUAAAUCACUUAAUGUAACGUAAACUCCAGAGCCUGUAUGUAUUAUCACUGUCUCAUUACUGCCUUGUACAAUAAAUUAAUCCUGUGUAGACUAACUCGAUUUCUCUCAAAUUACAGUGAUAGUGUAUUCAUUUAUUGAAUAGUGAUAAUAUGCUUUAUUCUGUGAUUGAUCAAUAACUAAACUACAGUACUUAAAGGGGAAGUUCAGGAUUGUACAACUUGAUGUUAGAUGGUUCCUCACCCUGAAAGUAGUCUAUAUGCCCCAUUCACUUCCAUUGAGUGUGUUAGCUAGUGGUGGCUAAAGUUAGCGGAAGUUUGUAUUAGCUGUUUGAAGAAAACCGAUCCAUGGAUAACAUUUUCUCCUGGCCCAUAGGAACCAGAGCAACCAUUUUAACAUCAAGUUGUAGAAUCCUGAACCUCCCCCUUUAUUCUGUAUAUUUACUCUAGAUGUUGAUGUACAUUCUGUCAAUCCACAAUGAAUAUAUCUAUAUAGGAAGUGACAAGUUGAAUACUUGAGCUGUAUAUAAUAAUUGUAUAUUUUGAGAUAUUUCAGAUUUUUGUACGUAAUGUACCCUUAUUGUGUCUGUAGAUUUAUGAUGUAAAGAUAUUAUUAGUGUGAAAAUUGUUGUCCUCAAUCAAAAUAACUGGAAAGAUUGUACUUUGGUGUGUGUCUGUGUGCGUGCUGGUGUGAGCGAGCGAGAACGUGGCGUGCUUACGCUUGUGUGUGAAUGAGUGUGUGAUUCUGUGUACAUGUAGAUGUCAUUGUUAAAACUGGUUGUGUGUUUCUUAAUUUCCACCUUCAGUGUUGUGUGAGCUUUACUUACUGUAAUCAAGUAGAUAUGACUGACUUGUAAUGACUUGGGACCACUGACUUCUUUAAGCAAUCUGUAAGUGUUCUGUGUCUCUUCAGCUGUUCUUUGGGACAACUCUCUGUUCUCCACAGAAAUUACAACUUGAACAUGGCAUAAAAUAGCGUGACAAUUCAUGAGCAUCAAUACUGUAACAACCAAUGUUUUUGUCUUAGAAAAAACAUUGAGGGAAAAUGAAAUAAAAGUUACCACUUUUAUGAACGGUGUUA